UGAGCCUCCAUCAUUUGCUGCUGUUCCUUCUGUUUUUGUCUUAGCAGCUCCUGUUCCUUCUCAGCUGCCUCCUUCUUAGCCUGCUUAGCUGUUCCACAGAGGUUUUACAGAGAGAAGAAAAUAACAGUCAGGUGGAAGAAGAACCAUGAUGGCUAAGUAUAUGGAGUCAGGAAGAGCUUCUCCCAUUGAGAGAACAGACCAUAGAGAAGACUGACAAACUCCAAGCAGGACUUCAGAACGAAGGCAUUGAGAGUGGAUGAAGGAAGGAUGCAGACCCAAGGCUGAAGGGAGAGGAAGCUGGGAACCUUGCACAGAAGAGGAAGCCAGAGAGAUUAGAAACAAGAGAAACAUCUGAUGUAUCAUUGCUGACUUGAAGAUGGAGAGAGGUUCCCCUGAGCAUACAGGAGUGCUCCAUGAAGACUGCAAUGGCUUCCCUCUCACAGGCCGUGUGCACGUCCAGCAGGUCCUGGAGCGUGUCUGUGGGGAAUUUCACUU